rnacentral:rRNA from 1 species
GAUGAACGCUGGCGGUAUGCUUAACACAUGAAAGUCGAACGGACUCUUCGGAGUUAGUGGCGGACGGGUGAGUAACGCGUGAGAAUCUGGCUUUGGGUUCGGGACAACCACUGGAAACGGUGGCUAAUACCGGAUGUGCCGAGAGGUAAAAGAGAAAUUGCCUGAAGAUGAGCUCGCGUCUGAUUAGCUAGUUGGUGAGGUAAAGGCUCACCAAGGCAGCGAUCAGUAGCUGGUCUGAGAGGAUGACCAGCCACACUGGGACUGAGACACGGCCCAGACUCCUACGGGAGGCAGCAGUGGGGAAUUUUCCGCAAUGGGCGAAAGCCUGACGGAGCAAUACCGCGUGAGGGAAGAAGGCUCUUGGGUUGUAAACCUCUUUUCUUAGGGAAGAACAAAAUGACGGUACCUAAGGAAUCAGCAUCGGCUAACUCCGUG